rnacentral:rRNA from 1 species
GAGCCGGAGGGAAACCGAGUCUUAAUUGGGCGUUAAGUUGCAGGGUAUAGACCCGAAACCCGGUGAUCUAGCCAUGGGCAGGUUGAAGGUUGGGUAACACUAACUGGAGGACCGAACCGACUAAUGUUGAAAAAUUAGCGGAUGACCUGUGGCUGGGGGUGAAAGGCCAAUCAAACCGGGAGAUAGCUGGUUCUCCCCGAAAGCUAUUUAGGUAGCGCCUCGUGAAUUCAUCUCCGGGGGUAGAGCACUGUUUCGGCUAGGGGGCCAUCCCGGCUUACCAACCCGAUGCAAACUGCGAAUACCGGAGAAUGUUAUCACGGGAGACACACGGCGGGUGCUAACGUCCGUCGUGAAGAGGGAAACAACCCAGACCGCCAGCUAAGGUCCCAAAGUCAUGGUUAAGUGGGAAACGAUGUGGGAAGGCCCAGACAGCCAGGAUGUUGGCUUAGAAGCAGCCAUCAUUUAAAGAAAGCGUAAUAGCUCACUGGUCGAGUCGGCCUGCGCGGAAGAUGUAACGGGGCUAAACCAUGCACCGAAGCUGCGGCAGCGACACUGUGUGUUGUUGGGUAGGGGAGCGUUCUGUAAGCCUGCGAAGGUGGCCUGUGAGGGUUGCUGGAGGUAUCAGAAGUGCGAAUGCUGACAUAAGUAACGAUAAAGCGGGUGAAAAGCCCGCUCGCCGGAAGACCAAGGGUUCCUGUCCAACGUUAAUCGGGGCAGGGUGAGUCGACCCCUAAGGCGAGGCCGAAAGGCGUAGUCGAUGGGAAACGGGUUAAUAUUCCCGUACUUGGUGUUACUGCGAAGGGGGGACGGAGAAGGCUAUGUUGGCCGGGCGACGGUUGUCCCGGUUUAAGCGUGUAGGUGUGUGUUCCAGGUAAAUCCGGUUCACUUUAACACUGAGGCGUGACGACGAGGCACUACGGUGCUGAAGCAACAAAUGCCCUGCUUCCAGGAAAAGCCUCUAAGCAUCAGGUAACAUCAAAUCGUACCCCAAACCGACACAGGUGGUCAGGUAGAGAAUACCAAGGCGCUUGAGAGAACUCGGGUGAAGGAACUAGGCAAAAUGGUGCCGUAACUUCGGGAGAAGGCACGCUGACACGUAGGUGAAGUGAUUUACUCAUGGAGCUGAAGUCAGUCGAAGAUACCAGCUGGCUGCAACUGUUUAUUAAAAACACAGCACUGUGCAAACACGAAAGUGGACGUAUACGGUGUGACGCCUGCCCGGUGCCGGAAGGUUAAUUGAUGGGGUCAGCGCAAGCGAAGCUCCUGAUCGAAGCCCCGGUAAACGGCGGCCGUAACUAUAACGGUCCUAAGGUAGCGAAAUUCCUUGUCGGGUAAGUUCCGACCUGCACGAAUGGCGUAAUGAUGGCCAGGCUGUCUCCACCCGAGACUCAGUGAAAUUGAACUCGCUGUGAAGAUGCAGUGUACCCGCGGCAAGACGGAAAGACCCCGUGAACCUUUACUAUAGCUUGACACUGAACAUUGAGCCUUGAUGUGUAGGAUAGGUGGGAGGCUUUGAAGUGUGGACGCCAGUCUGCAUGGAGCCGACCUUGAAAUACCACCCUUUAAUGUUUGAUGUUCUAACGUGGACCCGUUACCCGGGUUGCGGACAGUGUCUGGUGGGUAGUUUGACUGGGGCGGUCUCCUCCUAAAGAGUAACGGAGGAGCACGAAGGUUGGCUAAUCCUGGUCGGACAUCAGGAGGUUAGUGCAAUGGCAUAAGCCAGCUUGACUGCGAGCGUGACGGCGCGAGCAGGUGCGAAAGCAGGUCAUAGUGAUCCGGUGGUUCUGAAUGGAAGGGCCAUCGCUCAACGGAUAAAAGGUACUCCGGGGAUAACAGGCUGAUACCGCCCAAGAGUUCAUAUCGACGGCGGUGUUUGGCACCUCGAUGUCGGCUCAUCACAUCCUGGGGCUGAAGUAGGUCCCAAGGGUAUGGCUGUUCGCCAUUUAAAGUGGUACGCGAGCUGGGUUUAGAACGUCGUGAGACAGUUCGGUCCCUAUCUGCCGUGGGCGCUGGAGAACUGAGGGGGGCUGCUCCUAGUACGAGAGGACCGGAGUGGACGCAUCACUGGUGUUCGGGUUGUCAUGCCAAUGGCACUGCCCGGUAGCUAAAUGCGGAAGAGAUAAGUGCUGAAAGCAUCUAAGCACGAAACUUGCCCCGAGAUGAGUUCUCCCUGAGACUUAAAGUCUCCUGAAGGAACGUUGAAGACGACGACGUUGAUAGGCCGGGUGUGUAAGCGCAGCGAUGCGUUGAGCUAACCGGUACUAAUGAACCG